CUCACACCGGUCUGAACUCAAAUCAUGUAAAACUUUAAAGGUCGAACAGACCUUCUCUUAUAGUCUCUACUCUAUAAAGAACCUUUAAUUCAACAUCGAGGUCGCAAACUCUCUUGUCGAUAAGAACUCUCAAAGAAAAUUACGCUGUUAUCCCUAAAGUAACUUAAUCUUUAAUCCCUUUUAGGAUCAAUAAUUCAAAUAUUAUUGUAAGAACAAAAGACAGUUAUCUUUUCCUUAUAUCCUUGUCGCCCCAACAAAACAAUUUAAAAUAGUAACCUUAAAAUAAAAUUGAUCUCCAUCUUAAAAUAUAAAGUUUUAUAGGGUCUUAUCGUCCCCUUAGAUCAUUUAAGCCUUUUCACUUAAAAGUUAAAUUCAAUAUAUUAAUUUAAGACAGAUUAUUUCUUGUCCAACCAUUCAUUCUAGCCUUCAAUUAAAAAACUAAUGAUUAUGCUACCUUUGCACGGUCAUAAUACCGCGGCCUUUCAGUUCUCCAAC
rnacentral:rRNA from 1 species